UAGGGAAUCUUCGGCAAUGGGGGCAACCCUGACCGAGCAACGCCGCGUGAGUGAAGAAGGUUUUCGGAUCGUAAAGCUCUGUUGUAAGAGAAGAACGAGUGUGAGAGUGGAAAGUUCACACUGUGACGGUAACUUACCAGAAAGGGACGGCUAACUACGUGCCAGCAGCCGCGGUAAUACGUAGGUCCCGAGCGUUAUCCGGAUUUAUUGGGCGUAAAGCGAGCGCAGGCGGUUAGAUAAGUCUGAAGUUAAAGGCUGUGGCUUAACCAUAGUACGCUUUGGAAACUGUUUAACUUGAGUGCAGAAGGGGAGAGUGGAAUUCCAUGUGUAGCGGUGAAAUGCGUAGAUAUAUGGAGGAACACCAGUGGCGAAAGCGGCUCUCUGGUCUGUAACUGACGCUGAGGCUCGAAAGCGUGGGGAGCAAACAGGAUUAGAUACCCUGGUAGUCCACGCCGUAAACGAUGAGUGCUAGGUGUUGGGUCCUUUCCGGGACUCAGUGCCGCAGCUAACGCAUUAAGCACUCCGCCUGGGGAGUACGACCGCAAGGUUG
rnacentral:rRNA from 1 species